rnacentral:rRNA from 1 species
CAUGGCUCAGAGCGAACGCUGGCGGCAGGCUUAACACAUGCAAGUCGAACGGGCUUCUUCGGAAGUCAGUGGCAGACGGGUGAGUAACACGUGGGAACGUGCCCUUCGGUUCGGAAUAACUCAGGGAAACUUGAGCUAAUACCGGAUACGCCCUUUUGGGGAAAGGUUUACUGCCGAAGGAUCGGCCCGCGUCUGAUUAGCUUGUUGGUGGGGUAACGGCCUACCAAGGCGACGAUCAGUAGCUGGUCUGAGAGGAUGAUCAGCCACACUGGGACUGAGACACGGCCCAGACUCCUACGG